UGCCCCAGCAUGCACACUGCAUUAGCCUGAUGGACCUCAACUGGCAACCAGCCUAAAGAGAAAGGCCAUGAGGCCAGAAGCCAGAUCAGAGCUGUAAAAAGGAUCCCCCCAGGGGAGAACUACUAAAGUCCUGGACCUCAAAUAUCCAUCAUGGUCUUCUUAAGCCACUCAUUGAUUUGAGAAGAGACUGGCAGUGGUGCAAAGAAAAAGGGAAGCCAAACAGAAGAACCUGGAGCCUGUAAAAACCCCUUUCAGCUGGUCAUAUUCCAGCCUCUUUCUUAUAAAGUUGGAUAGAGAUGUUGUUGUACAAGAAACCCACACAGCAAUACUCACCGUGGCACAAUCACCUCAGAGAAUCUGACAUAUUAUACACCUCUUCUCAUAUGGAGAGGACCAAAGGGGGAGAAUAUAUGGAGAAUAUAAAUAUGUAAAGGAAUACUCAUGAGAACAUAUGACUCCUCAGGGAGGAUGAGCCCUAUACACCAAGAGGGAAUGUGUACUCCUAUGGAGGAAGACUAUCCUUCUCUUCAUAUAGAGGAGUGCAAAUCUUUGCUCUAUAUGAAAGAAUAAAAUCAGGAAUAGGAAUCACAUAAUUCAAGUAGACAAUAUCCUUCUGCAUGGAGGACUGUACAGAGAAGCUUUACAGUCUCCUAAGCAGAAAGAGAGAGAGAAGAGAGAGAGACAGACAGGAAGGGGAAUAGGAGCCCUUGACAGGAAUAGACUGAGGACAUAUGGGAGCCUUCCAACUGGCAGGUUUUAGAGAGUAAUGGAAGCGGGACAGACAGCUGAGGGUCCCUAGGCAUCUGUGCUGGUGUCUGUGGUCCCUUCCAUCCAUGUCCAGCUCCAGGGAUGGGCAGCAGCCACUGGGGAGAGGGAAAGGAGUGGGCGGGAGGGCAUGGAGUCCAAGACAGAGUCGGCAAGCUUGCAGAGCUGAAUCUAGGCAGAGGGAAGGGGGUGUGCUGCAUGGUGGGGGCGAAUGGAGGAUGGGGCUGGGUUGGCAGGAGAAGAAAGGGAGCCUUACCGAAGGGGUGCUGACGUCAACACUCGCGCGCUCAGCGCCGCACCUCCAGCUAGAACUCAGCUCCGCUUGUCUCCGGGUCUCCCGAGAGCUGGCAAUGGAUGGGAGAGAAGAGAGACAAGACAGAGAUGCCAUGGGACCCAGUCAAAUCCUAGUAGAGGCUCCGCUGCCUAAGGAGAGAAGCCCAGUGGCCACUGAGAGCUCAAGCCCCAAGACCCCUGGACACCCGUCGAAUGUAGUUCGCAACUGUUAUCCAAGCAAAGUUCGAACCUUCGCCUUCACCUGCUCUGGGCUCGAGGGCGGCCAAUCACCAAUGCCUUAGGGGUUGGGGAUGGAGGUUCGGGGCCGGGGGAGGGGGAGGGGGAGGGGAGGAGAAGCUCUGGUGCUACAGCCCAAUUCACAAAGACCAAUGGUCCUCUUCCAAGCUAGCACAAAGACUGAAUUAGCUACUCAGGUGGUGCCCCAAGGGAAAACAGCAGCCAGGCACAUUUCUCAGCGCCAUGGGGCUUGGAUCUGAAAGAGCUUGUAGGGUGAUGGGCUAAGAGACAUCUCAGAGGUCCUCUGCUCCACUUUCCUCUUUGGAGGACAAAGGCAGGGCAGGGCAGGGCAGGGCAGGGCAGGGCAGGGCAGGUUCUCUGCCAAGAUCACACAGUCAGGAAGGGGCAGAGAGACACCUGGGAGCACACCUCUCUCUCUAGGUCUCUUCCUGCCAGCCCAGCUCACAUAGCCCCUCUCCUCCACCACACAAGCAUCACAGGCUUGACGUCACAAAGAGCGCCCAUAGUGACCUCAUAUUAUUCAAUACUGUGUUUGGGGCUGUUGCCUCCACACCCACAAAGAGGGACAGCUGCCAGGAUUCACAAAGAAAUAGGGGUUUUCUGGCAGGCUUGACUAGUAGAAUCCAGUCAAGGGAAAGGAAAUCAACAAGAAGAUAUCAUGAAUACUCACUCAUGAAGAAUGGCUCAAAUUCAUUAAUAGAGCGUGAACAUAGGUGUCAUUCCUAAGAGAAGAGAAACAAAACAGGAAUACUGAAGAGAGAACAGGAGUACCUUUCAGUUCACUUCCUGUAAAAUGGUCAUCUAUUUCAUAUGUAUAUACACACACUUAAGUUUAUUGUUUAUGGAAGAGUAUCACAAGGAAUAUACAGAUACCUGAGACAGAGACAGAGAGAGACAGAGAGAACAAGAGAAACCUUAAGGUCUCCUGAGCACAAACAGAGAGAAGAAUUAGAGGAUUAAUAGAACCUGGAGCCUGUAAAAACCCCUCUCAGCUGGUCAUAUUCCAGCCUCUUAUAAAGUUAGAUAAAGAGAUGCUGUUGUACCAGAAACCUACACAGCAAUACUCACCGCGGCACAAUCACCUCAGAGAAUCUGACAUAUUAUACACCUCUUCUCCUAUGGAGAGGACCAAAGGGGGAGAACAUAUGGAGAAUAUAAAUAUGUAAAGGAUUACUCAGGAGAACAUAUAAUGACUCCUCAGGGAGGAUGAGUCCUAUACACCAAGAGGGACUGUGUACUCCUGUGGAGGAAGACUAUCCUUCUCUACUCUUCUUAGGAGGUGUCACAUUCCAUAUUCAUAUAGAGGAGUGCAAAUCUUUCCUCUAUAUGAAAGAAUAAAAUCAGGAAUACGAAUCA
rnacentral:lncRNA from 1 species